rnacentral:rRNA from 1 species
AGUCAAUAGAUACCCCGGUAGUCCACGCCGUAAACGAUGAGUACUAGGUGUAGGAGGUAUCGACUCCUUCUGUGCCGCAGUUAAACACAAUAAGUACUCCGCCUGGGAAGUACGGUCGCAAGAUUAAAACUCAAAGAAUUGACGGGGCCCGGCACAAGCAGCGGAGCAUGUGGUUUAAUUCGAAGCAACGCGAAGAACCUUACCUAGACUUGACAUCUCCUGAAUAGCGCAGAGAUGCGUGAAGCCCUUCGGGGUCGAGGAAAGACAGGUGGUGCAUGGUUGUCGUCAGCUCGUGUCGUGAGAUGUUGGGUUUAAGUCCCGCAACGAGCGCAACCCCUAUUAUUAGUUGCUACCAUUAAGUUGAGCACUCUAAUGAGACU